CAGAUGCAACAGGCUGCAGGUUCUCAGAUCUCCCUAAAAUCUGAAGCUCAACGUAUAGUUAUUUCGGUGGCUGCUCAAAUAAAUUGACGUCUAAGCUUUGUUACAUAAAUUUUUGUGUUGUGUCCCAGCUGACUCUUUUCAGCAGAGUUGUUUCAUUCCUGUUCUGUGACGCACUAACAAGUAGGAGGCAAGGACAACCAGUGGCUGAGAGUACAAUGGCACCAGGCAUGCACUUACCGAGAGAGACUGAGUGAACUUCAGCAGGGAGCUUGAACUUCUUGUGCUCAUGCUGUCAUAUGCCUGUAUCAAAUUGUGUGAUUCAUGCUUGUUGCUGAACUAUAGCCUACUCCAGGGCUACCUCAUAUUCUAUCGGUAAUCGAUUUUUUCGAUGACAAAUCGAGUAUUGUGUGAACAUUAAUAAUAAAAAUAAUUAGCGCAAUAUCACCAUAAAGCGCAAUACAGAUGGCAUAAAUAGAGUCUGUGCUUAUGCGUAUGGUAUUGCAAUCGGCUUUGAGGGUUAGCGAAAGAAGCAGUAGCCCCUCACUGCUGAACCUGUGCAGAACACACGAGAUCCAGGCGGCGGAGACGGGUAGGUUAGUCCCGCUUUACAAUUAAAAGAGCCAAUCGCCUUUGUCUUAGAUUUGUCACCUGUUUUUUUUUUUUUUUUUUUUAAUCUAGAACGCGGAUGCGCAUUAACAGUGAAGCAGAAAUACAUAUUUUGCGCGUUUUUAGCUGUCAGAUUUUUAUUCCUGAUUUAUAAAUAUUUUAUAUAAGGCCUAGGCCUACAUAUUUAAUAUACAGCAUAUAAGUACCACGGGUGCUGACAUGUCUUUCUUUUUUAAGGAAUUAAAAAAAAAUUCAAAAUUAAAAUGGAUUUAAAGGGUUAGUUCAUCCAAAAAUGAAAAUGCUGUCAUUAAUUACUCACCCUCAUGUCAUUCCACACCCGUAAGACCUUCGUUCAUCUUCGGUAGUCUACACAAAUUAAGAUAUUUUUGAUAAAAUCCGAUGGCUCAGUGAGGCCUCCAUUGCCAGCAAGUUAAUUUACACGUUCAAAUGCCCAGAAAGGUACUAGACAUAUUUAAAACAGUUCAUGUGAUUACAGUGGUUCAACCUUAAUGACUUUAUUCAGCAAUAUGAUGGGCGAUUUCAAAACACUGCUUCAUGAAGCUUCAAAGCUUUACGAAUCUUUUGUUUCGAAUCAGUGGUUCAGAGCCUGUAUCAAACUGCCAAAGUCACGUGAACCAUUGAAUCUUUUUUUUUUUUUUUUGCAAGAAAGGAAACAGCACUGCCUUAAAUACGUGAACCAAUGAAAAUUUGAAAGGUUUCGAAACACUUAUGACAAAAUGAAGCCUUGUUUACUGAAAUCACAUGACUUUCGCAGUUUGAUACACGCUCCAAACCACUGACUCGAAAUGAAGCUUCGAAGCUUCAUGAAGCAGUGUUUUGAAAUCAUCUUUGAACUAUUUUAAAUAUGUCUUUAGUAGCUUUCUGGGCAUUGAAAGUGUUAAUUAUCUUGCUGUCAAUGGAGGCCUCACUGAGCCAUCGGAUUUCAUCAAAAAUAUCUUAAUUUGUGUUCUAAAGAUGAAUGAAGGUCUUACGGGUGUGGAACGACACGAGGAGCAAGAUUCAGCAAGAUAAAAUACUGCCACCUACUGUUGGAAUAUAUGUGUUAAACAUACGCUCCUAAAGGUACAGUGCACUCAAAAACGAAAAUUCUGGCAUUUUUACUCACCCUCACGUUGUUCCAAAACUGAAUGACUUUCUGUGGAACAUAAAAGAAGAUAUAUUGAUAAAUGUCUCUCUCUGUGAGUUUUUUAUAUAUAUGUGUCUAUACAAUGAAGUAUAGUCGUCACCAAAAUCGUUCUUCCUUUAAAGUUCCACAGAAGACAGUCGUACUGGACAUGUUUGAACUGGACAUGAGGGUGAGUAAAUGUCUCGAGUUUUUCAGCUUAAAUCACUAUAUUUGUGAUUUUCCUACACUAGAAAGUUACUGCACUUGUUUGCAUAAUCCACAAGGAGAUGAAAAUUAUAUUUAGCACAGGCUAUUGUUCCUAAAAAUGUCUUGUAACCUUUUCUACUGCCUGAUCUCGACCUUUCUGUAAUGCUUUGGUUUUAAAUGGAAUAAUAAAGAGAGAAUGAGUCUCUUCUCCUAUGGUUGCUAUGGAGAUGCCUUUACAUAAUUAUAAAUAUAGGUUGAUCACAUCCUUUAAUACACUUGGGAUCUUUGUUCUUCUAGAGGAACAGCACACGCACGAAAUCUCCAACGAACAAGGCAGUUUGGAGUUGUUCAUUCAUCUCUAUUAUGUGUUUGUUACACUACUUGCGUUUAAAUGUCUAUAUUUCUCUUGUCUCUGCAGAUCAUUAACGUUUUUUGGUCAGCAUAAUCGAAUGUAAUAUGGACGCAACUUUAAUCUAAAAAAAUAGAUCAAAAUAGAAAAGCUGAACCCAAUACAUAUGUCUGAAAUGAAAAUAUGUGCUUAUUCUCUGAAUAAUAAUAAAAACAUUACCGCUUUCAAAUGGAUUUUGCUAGAGGGGUUUAAAAUUAGAUUUUGAUUUCAAUUUCAAAAGACUUCAAACAUGUUUGGACUGUAAUUGAUAUGCAAAGCAAAGUUUUCCAGAUUUUGUACAUUCCACUCGUUACUCGUAAAAUUUGUAGCAGCGGUUGAAAUACUGCAAAGUAUUUUCUUAAGCAGACCUGAACGAGUAUUCCGCUUUUAAAUAUAUUAAAAUAAAAAAAAAAUAAUAAAAUCAUUGGCUUUAAAACUUGAACACAGAACAACCUAUUGGCAAAACCAUAAGCAGACAACGGAGGAAAAAAAAGCAGAUGUUUAAAACAGACAUAGAAAUCACUUUAUUGAGGGAAUAUCUUCCAACAAUACAAAACAAUAAUCCAGAGGCUUAAAAGUAAUACCAUUUCAUGAAGACGUUAACAGAGCAAUGUCCCUCUGCUCUGCGCGGUCAAUCUGGAAAAUCAUGACAGUGUAAGCAUGGCUUUAUUUUAAAAAAAAAAAAAAAAAAAAAAAAAAAAAAAACAA